ACUCUUCUACCCGUGACGAGAUUGGUUCAGUUCUUCGUACCUCAACAUUCCUUGCAUGUGUUUCAAGCCUAGAUUCAUUGACGCAGGGGGCUCGGUGUCACGUCUGGUGGCCAAGCACGAAGUCAAAGCUACACAUGCUGCUAAUGGUUGGAGCUAUAUGGCAGCCAACAAGUUCAUCAAUAUCUCUGUUACGGCCAUCGCUAUCUUCCAUUUCACAAUAUGUGCCUUCUUAUAAUGUUAUCAUGCAGAUGCCAAUUCAUUUCUCUGUCCAUAUAGCUUUGAGAAGGUCAGCAUAGCUGUUUGUUUGAGGCUCAACGUGAUACCAGCCUUUGAUUCAAGCUUUGCUUUUUUUUUCCAGGAGCCUUAGCUUUUAGUGUUAUUAAUUUAUCAUGGAUGUUUGUUUUGUGUUCUUCACAUUCCAUGGACUACAAAGAAUAUGUGUUAUUCCAUUUAUAGUCGUUUGGUACAUCUAAAGUGGAGACCAGUGAAACAUCUAUAUGCAUUUGUUCAUGUUAUGUGUGAUA